rnacentral:lncRNA from 10 species
GGAAAAAUGAGGAACAGACAAGUUAAAGCAGGGGUCCCCAACCCCAGGGCUGCAGACCAGUACCUGUCUGUGGCCUGUUAGGAACUGGGCAGCACAGCACGAGCAUGGGACAUUCAGAACUGGGAAGGACUUAAUACAGACUCAUGAAAGUUCUUUAAUCUUAUCAAGACUAUACUGUUGCCAUCUGUGAUACUGAUAACUAGCCUAUAAUGAGUGCCUGCUACGUGCCAGGCACUGCGCUAAGAAUUUUGCACACAUGAUUGAUAAUCACUACAUUAAUAACAAGUUUUAAGAUAAAAUUGGCUGCAGCAUUGGCAAGAUGUCGAAUCAAGCAUGAUGCCCUUUCAAUUUACCACAUCCUUCCAGAAACAGUUAGGAAACAGGAACUAAGGGCCUCCACUUUACCACUUUAUGCUUGGAUAAAUACUUGUAAAAUCAGCCCUGAAGAAGUUUAUAAUAAUUUGAAGAGAAGAGGCUAUAAUAAAGUCAAAUCUGUAUUGCAUAUUGAUGAUAAAGUCUUUGCUGUGGAUCAACAUUGCUAUGAUGUCUUAAUUUUUCCAUCUCAUCUUAAAAAUGAUCUUAUAAAUAUAGAUCUUUUCAAAGAUUACAAACUUAUAUUUCAGGACAAAUCUCGAAGUCUUGCUGUCCAUUCUGUAAAGGCUUUAUUAAAUAUGGAUGAUGAUGUCUUAAUGGUCAAUACAGGCUCAUGGUACACAGUUUCCCACAUGUCAAUUUUAACAAAUAAUAAUACCUCAAAAGUAUU